CUCCCGGAGGCGGCUUUGCUUUUUAACUGCAAAUGACUUUUCCAACUCACCCACCACCACCACCACCCCCAUCCCCAGCACGCCGCGUUUCCUCCCCUCUCCUGCACCCGCUCCACGGAGCCCCCCGGAAGGGGCGACUUCCCCCGCAGGCUGCUGGUGCCCCCGCGCCCCUUCCCGCACCGGGGGAGCUCAGGAAGCGGGGGAGAAGGAACAAGAAGGAACCCCACGGCGAGCGGAGGGGCGAGGGGGCUGCAGGGGGAGAGGGGACGGGGCCGCUCUGCCUCCCCCCCGCUCCCAGGGUGUACAAACCUCCAGCAUCCAAGUGGCCACCAUCCUCCUCAUGAAGGGCUGGAUGUCCUUCUGGACGCACUUGAAGUAGGAGCACUGGGGCAGAUACCUCUCCUCUAUGAUCCUUUUUUCAUCAUCACUCCUAUUUAAUCUCUUCUCUCUGCAAAUCCCAGAGAAAAAUCGUGAAGAUGCUUCAGUGGACAGGAUGGGCUCAAGCUUUGCAGACCAAUAGACACAUUGCGUGUGUGUGCCCUGCGGCCGCAGGUUUUUUGUUUGUUUAAAUGAAAUAAGUAACCCUCGCAGUGCUUGAAACCUGAAGGCUGGAGUGUGAAACAUGAGAAUCUGAAAGUGAAACCGACUGGAAGCCAAGAAAGAAACAGAUGAACGUGUUUCCACUGUCCAAGCUGAGGAAAGCCCUGAAAGCAAACAAACACCGUGAAUAUUAAAAUGUGCAAUAGAUUUGAAAUAAAAUUAUUCCAGCAUCAAUCGCUGGAAACAGUCUA